rnacentral:rRNA from 1 species
AGCUCUGUAAGCGUAUACCAAAGUUGUUGCAGUUAAAACGCUCGUAGUCGGAAUUUGGCAAUUUCGGAUGUGUACGCGUCGUGCGCGCACUUUGCAGGAAUUGCUUUUGUGGGUCUGCGUGGGAUGAGGCAACUUUAAUGUUGAACGUCCUUACGCAACCACUCUUUACUGUGAGAAAAUUAGAGUGUUCAAAGCAGGCAAUUGCCGUGAAUACAUUAGCAUGGAAUAAUAGAAUAGGACUCUGUCUUAUUUUGUUGGUUUGUUAAUUCAGAGUGAUGAUUAAGAGGGACAGUUGGGGGCAUUUGUAUUUCGGCGCUAGAGGUGAAAUUCUUAGAUUGCCGAAAGACAAACUGCUGCGAAAGCGUCUGCCAAGGAUGUUUUCAUUGAUCAAGAACGAAAG